GUUUGCUGCUGGCAGGGGAGCCAGUAACAUUGCCUGGCUGCAAGGCUCCACGCAACAACUGGAGAAAUGACACCAGGGAAGUGGAAAUCAAAAUGGCUGAUAGUUGACUUCCUGUUUCAGACCAGUCGAGAGAGAAGAUUCAACCCCCAGCCUCUUCGGAAGGAAAGAAAGAAAGAUGCCUAGAUUCUUGGUUCAAGGCCAUGGGAUGAGAACUUCUCUAUUAUGCUGUCACAUACAGAAUAAUGGUCAGCAUUUUGGGUAAACACUGAGUAACCACACACAAGAACUGAACAAAGUGGUGUUAGAAAUACUUUUAAUAAUUCUUUUUCUCACAAGACUGGCUGACUGUCUUGCUUUUUCAAUUUUUUAAAUGAUGGUGCAAGAUAUAUCAAUAUCUGUAUGUGUAUGCGUGUGUGUAUCUAUUGUUUUUGCUGUUUAUGAACUAUCAACUAUGAACUGACCUAAGGUUGUGAGCUCAUUUCACUUUUCCUCCCAUGUAUUUUGAAUGGAAUUGCAUUAAUUUUGUGGUAACCUCCAGCUUCCAUAGUUGCAAUGAACCAGUGUGUGAGACUUAAACAGCUCUGUUUUAUCUUUAAAGCUAUUAAUACUAGCUAAUUGAUAAAGCCAGUCCAGCUUAAACUCUAUUACUUCUGCUUUCAAUAGGAAUUUAAUUCAUUCAGCAGCACAGGUUUGUACUUUAGUCACUGAUUCUGCACUUAUGUUUGCUUGAUGUGAAGUGUGAGCAGAGAUGAAACUUGAA